AGAGUUUGAUUCUGGCUCAGAACGAACGCUGGCAGCGUGGAUUAGGCAUGCAAGUCGAACGGGAUCCUGUUAAUUCAAAUCUUCGGAUGAGAUGUUCAGGUGAGAGUGGCGGAAGGGUGAGUAAUGUAUGGGCAAUCUGUCCUUAGAGUGGGGAUAACUAUGAGAAAUUAUAGCUAAUACCGAAUGUGGCACUGUAACGCGUGUUACAGCUGUUAAAGGUGGGGAUCUUCGGACCUACCCUCUAAAGAGGAGCCCGUAUGCCAUCAGCUUGUUGGUAAGGUAACGGCUUACCAAGGCUUACGGCUAGCUGGUCUGAGAGGACGACCAGCCACACUGGGACUGAGACACUGCCCAGACUCCUACGGGAGGCUGCAGUCGAGGAUCAUUCGCAAUGAGCGAAAGCUUGACGAUGCGACGCUGCGUGGAGGAUGAAGGCCCUCGGGUCGUAAACUCCUGUCAUAAGGGAAAAAGCGAGGUGCGAUAACAUCAAACUGAGUAGAUGGUACCUUAAGAGGAAGCCACGGCUAACUCUGUGCCAGCAGCCGCGGUAAUACAGAGGUGGCGAGCGUUGUUCGGAUUUACUGGGCGUAAAGGGCGCGUAGGCGGUAUAGUAUGUCGGGUGUGAAAUCUCCAGGCUCAACCUGGAAAGUGCGCUCGAAACUGCUAAACUAGAGUACGGGAGGGGAGAUCGGAAUACAAGGUGUAGCGGUGAAAUGCGUUGAUAUCUUGUAGAACACCGGUGGCGAAGGCGGAUCUCUGGAACGUAACUGACGCUGAGGCGCGAAAGUCGGGGGAGCGAACAGGAUUAGAUACCCUGGUAGUCCCGACCGUAAACGGUGUACACUUGGGGUUGGGGGAUUUCACCCCUCCAGUCCCGGAGCUAACGCGUUAAGUGUACCGCCUGGGGAGUACGGCCGCAAGGUUAAAACUCAAAGAAAUUGACGGGGGCCCGCACAAGCAGAGGAGCAUGUGGCUUAAUUCGAUGCAACGCGAAGAACCUUACCCAGGUUUGACAUAUAUCUGAAGUAUGCAGAGAUGUAUAUGCCUUUCGGGGCGCUAUUACAGGUGCUGCAUGGCUGUCGUCAGCUCGUGUCGUGAGAUGUUGGGUUAAGUCCCGCAACGAGCGCAACCCUUGCCCCUAGUUGCCAGCGGAUAACGCCGGGGACUCUAGGGGGACAGUCGGCGAUAGCCGGAGGAAGGUGGGGAUGACGUCAAG
rnacentral:rRNA from 1 species